rnacentral:tmRNA from 2 species
GGUCUUUUUUCGGCAAGGUUUGCCCCCUAUAUUCAGCGGGCCGGAGCAAUCCGGCUAUGGCGAUAAACGGCCGUCGCAAUAAACCCAUCGGACCCGGGGGCAGUACCCGGCGCCUCCACCCAAGCCCAACCGGCACACGCUGUGGUUGGGCUUCGGCGGGGGCGAAACAGGAUCGACGAGGGCGUAAAGGGCGGACUUUUGCUCGGCAUGGUACCGCCGAUAUCGGGCCAAUCGUAUAGUUGCCAACGACAACUAUGCUCCGGUUGCUCAGGCCGCUUAAGCGGUUUGAAAAAUACCGAACUAAAGCCCUGACGGGUUAAGCUCCGUCAGGCGGGGUCCGGAGGCACCUGGCAACAGAAGCCUCCACU